AACGAACGCUGGCGGCAGGCCUAACACAUGCAAGUCGAGCGAGGACUUCGGUCCUAGCGGCGGUCGGGUGUGUAACGCGUGGGAACGUGCCCUUUUCUUCGGAAUAGCCCUUUUUAACUGGGAGUAAUACCGGAUGAGCUCUUUUGGUGACAGAUUUGUCGUCGAAGGAUCGGCCCGCGUUGGUUUAGGUUGUUGGUUGGGUAAUGGCCUACCAAGCCGACGCUCCAUAGCUGGUUUGAGAGGAAGAUAAGCCACACUGGGACUGUGACACGGCCCAGAAUACUACGGGAGGGAGGAGAGGGGAAUCGUAGAAAAUGGGGGAAAAGCAGAACGAGCCAGGGCGGGAGAGCGAUGAAGGCCUGAGGGAUGUAAAGCACUUUAAGCUGGGAAGAUAAUGACGGUACCAGAAGAAGAAGCCCCGGCUAACUCCGUG
rnacentral:rRNA from 1 species